GCCUGGGUGGCUCAGUCGUUAAGUGUCUGCCUUCAACGCAGGGCGUGUCGUGGGAUCAAGCCCCACAUCAGGCU
rnacentral:tRNA from 1 species